AUUGAACGCUAGCGGGAUGCCUUACACAUGCAAGUCGAACGGAGUGGCGAACGGGUGAGUAAUGUAUCGGAACGUGCCCAGUAACGGGGGAUAACUACUCGAAAGCGUAGCUAAUACCGCAUACUAUUGGCGCGGCCGAUAUCGGAUUAGCUAGUUGGUGGGGUAACGGCUCAGCAAGGCGACGAUCCGUAGCUGGUUUGAGAGGACUACCAGCCACACUGGGACUGAGACACGGCCCAGAAUCCUACGGGAGGCAGCAGUGGGGAAUAUUGGACAAGGGGGGAAACCCUGAUCCAGCCAUCCCGCGUGUGCGAGGAAGGCCUUAGGGUUGUAAAGUACUUUAGGCAGGAAAGCGGUACCUGCAGAAUAAGCACCGGCUAACUACGUGCCAGCAGCCGCGGUAAUAC
rnacentral:rRNA from 1 species